AUUGAACGCUGGCGGCAGGCCUAACACAUGCAAGUCGAACGAGUGGCGGACGGGUGAGUAAUGUCUGGGAAACUGCCUGAUGGAGGGGGAUAACUACUGGAAACGGUAGCUAAUACCUCAUACCAUCAGAUGUGCCCAGAUGUGACUAGCUUGUUGGUGGGGUAACGGCUCACCAAGUCGACGAUCCCUAGCUGGUCUGAGAGGAUGACCAUCAACACUGAAACGGAGACACGGACCGGACUCCGACGUGAGGCAGCAUUGGGGAAUAUUGCACAAGGGGCGCAAGCCUGAUACAGCCAGGCGGCGUGUAUGAAGAAGGCCUUCGGGUUGUAAAGUACUUUCAGCGGGGAGGCGUUACCCGCAGAAGAAGCACCGGCUAACUCCGUGCCAGCAGCCGCGGUAAUUC
rnacentral:rRNA from 1 species